rnacentral:misc_RNA from 1 species
AAUGCAGUUUGUUUGGUCGAGCAUUUUAGAUAGCACGUGUUGUGGAUUUGUUUGUAAACAACCAUACCAUAGGAAAUCUUGUUUCAAACGGGAAUUGAAAUAAAUAAAUUUCCAUGUAAAAGUAAAAAGCUAAGCACAGAGAGAUCAUCAUGCCCACCCCAUGCAAAACCUGAGGCUCAAGGACAAGCCAGUGUUCAACGUCACACAUGGACUGCUGUAGAAAGGCAUCCUUGGAGCGACAGUUUAAUAACUUUAUCAAACUAGGGAAAACUCCUGGUCAGCUUGACUGUUUAAACGCCAUUAGGAAGGAAAAGGCAUUAUCAGGCUUCACUUGGCGCAAUGUGAAGUUUGCUGUCAAAAACAUAAUACCUCUCGUCUGAGAAGUUGCAGAAAAUGAAAUUCCAGGUGGUCGCAACGUUAAAUUUCUAUGUGUUAUAAUUAUGUUACCGUAAUGAAGUUCGAAUGCAUACUGUUUGUGCUGUAUUAUCAAUUUGUUAAUAACAUUAUGCCAGUAUCUAAAUUUAAUACAGGGUGCAUGCAUUUGUGACAAAUGCUUAUUGACUUAUACAAAUGUACAUCUAUUUUUUUGUCUGUUAUUCUACUUCCUAUUCCAUGAAACAUUUUGAAAUGGCAGAAAUGGGUAGACAUUAUUUGAUAUUUUAAUUGAUAAAAUAUGAUCAGAAAUGUAAAGAAGGGCACGCAUCAUGCAUGAUAAUGUCAAUGAUUGAUUGAAAUUAUUUGAAUUCAUAAACAAAAUUCCAUAUAUCAUGAAUUACUAUGAAAUUAUGUACUUUUAAAUUUUAGCUUAAAGUUGUUUGAUCCUAAAAUAAAAUGAAUUAUAAUU